rnacentral:rRNA from 1 species
GACGAACGCUGGCGGCGUGCUUAACACAUGCAAGUCGAACGGUAAGGCUCCAGCUUGCUGGGGUACACGAGUGGCGAACGGGUGAGUAACACGUGGGUGACCUGCCCUGCACUUCGGGAUAAGCCUGGGAAACUGGGUCUAAUACCGGAUAGGACCGCACCGUGAGGGUGUGGUGGAAAGUUUUUUCGGUGUGGGAUGGGCCCGCGGCCUAUCAGCUUGUUGGUGGGGUAAUGGCCUACCAAGGCGGCGACGGGUAGCCGGCCUGAGAGGGUGGACGGCCACAUUGGGACUGAGACACGGCCCAGACUCCUACGGGAGGCAGCAGUGGGGAAUAUUGCACAAUGGGCGGAAGCCUGAUGCAGCGACGCCGCGUGGGGGAUGACGGCCUUCGGGUUGUAAACUCCUUUCACCAUCGACGAAGGGUUUCUGACGGUAGAUGGAGAAGAAGCACCGGCUAACUACGUGCCAGCAGCCGCGGUAAUACGUAGGGUGCGAGCGUUGUCCGGAAUUACUGGGCGUAAAGAGCUCGUAGGUGGUUUGUCGCGUCGUCUGUGAAAUUCCGGGGCUUAACUCCGGGCGUGCAGGCGAUACGGGCAUAACUUGAGUACUGUAGGGGAGACUGGAAUUCCUGGUGUAGCGGUGAAAUGCGCAGAUAUCAGGAGGAACACCGGUGGCGAAGGCGGGUCUCUGGGCAGUAACUGACGCUGAGGAGCGAAAGCAUGGGGAGCGAACAGGAUUAGAUACCCUGGUAGUCCAUGCCGUAAACGGUGGGCGCUAGGUGUGGGUUUCCUUCCACGGGAUCCGUGCCGUAGCUAACGCAUUAAGCGCCCCGCCUGGGGAGUACGGCCGCAAGGCUAAAACUCAAAGGAAUUGACGGGGGCCCGCACAAGCGGCGGAGCAUGUGGAUUAAUUCGAUGCAACGCGAAGAACCUUACCUGGGCUUGACAUAUACAGGAUCGCGCCAGAGAUGGUGUUUCCCUUGUGGCUUGUAUACAGGUGGUGCAUGGUUGUCGUCAGCUCGUGUCGUGAGAUGUUGGGUUAAGUCCCGCAACGAGCGCAACCCUUGUCUUAUGUUGCCAGCACGUUGUGGUGGGGACUCGUAAGAAACUGCCGGGGUUAACUCGGAGGAAGGUGGGGAUGACGUCAAAUCAUCAUGCCCCUUAUGUCCAGGGCUUCACACAUGCUACAAUGGUCGGUACAGUGGGUUGCCAGUCCGUGAGGGCGAGCUAAUCCCGCAAAGCCGGUCUCAGUUCGGAUCGGGGUCUGCAACUCGACCCCGUGAAGUCGGAGUCGCUAGUAAUCGCAGAUCAGUAACGCUGCGGUGAAUACGUUCCCGGGCCU